UGCUAUUGGAGUCCGAUUUAGCCAUGCUAGUUGCACGAGUUCAGACUCGUAGCAGAUAGCUCAGUAACACGUGGCCAAACUACCCUCUGGACGCGGAUAACCUCGGGAAACUGAGGCUAAUCCGUGAUAGCGUUCCCACGCUGGAGUGCGGGGAACGUGAAACGUUCAGGCGCCAGAGGAUGUGGCUGCGGCCGAUUAGGUAGACGGUGGGGUAACGGCCCACCGUGCCAGUAAUCGGUACGGGUUGUGAGAGCAAGAACCCGGAGACGGUAUCUGAGACAAGAUACCGGGCCCUACGGGGCGCAGCAGGCGCGAAACCUUUACACUGCACGCGAGUGCGAUAAGGGGACUCCGAGUGCGAGGGCAUAUAGUCCUCGCUUUUCACCACCGUAAGGUGGUGGUGGAAUAAGUGCUGGGCAAGACCGGUGCCAGCCGCCGCGGUAAUACCGGCAGCACGAGUGAUGACCGCUAUUAUUGGGCCUAAAGCGUCCGUAGCUGGCCAGGCAAGUCGAUCGGGAAAUCCGCGUGCUUAACGCGCGGGCGUCCGGUAGAAACUGCUUGGCUUGGGACCGGAAGACCAGAGGGGUACGUCUGGGGUAGGAGUGAAAUCCCGUAAUCCUGGACGGACCACCGGUGGCGAAAGCGCCUCUGGAAGACGGAUCCGACGGUGAGGGACGAAAGCUCGGGUCACGAACCGGAUUAGAUACCCGGGUAGUCCGAGCUGUAAACGAUGUCUGCUAGGUGUGCCACAGGCUACGAGCCUGUGGUGUGCCGUAGGGAAGCCGUGAAGCAGACCGCCUGGGAAGUACGUCCGCAAGGAUGAAACUUAAAGGAAUUGGCGGGGGAGCACUACAACCGGAGGAGCCUGCGGUUUAAUUGGAUUCAACGCCGG
rnacentral:rRNA from 1 species